rnacentral:rRNA from 1 species
UGGGGAAUAUUGGACAAUGGGGGAAACCCUGAUCCAGCAAUGCCGCGUGAGUGAAGAAGGCCUUAGGGUUGUAAAGCUCUUUCGCCCGUGAAGAUAAUGACGGUAGCGGGAGAAGAAGCCCCGGCUAACUCCGUGCCAGCAGCCGCGGUAAUACGGAGGGGGCUAGCGUUGUUCGGAAUUACUGGGCGUAAAGCGUACGUAGGCGAAUGCGCAAGUUGGGGGUGAAAUCCCGGGGCUUAACCUCGGAAUUGCCCUCAAAACUGCACGUCUUGAGACCGAGAGAGGUAAGGGGAAUUCUUAGUGUAGAGGUGAAAUUCGUAGAUAUUAGGAAGAACACCAGUGGCGAAGGCGCCUUACUGGCUCGGUACUGACGCUGAGGUACGAAAGCGUGGGGAGCAAACA